AUUCCAGCUCCAAUAGCGUAUAUUAAAGUUGUUGCGGUUAAAAAGCUCGUAGUUGGAUUUCUGUCGAGAACGGCCGGUCCGCACUAUGUGCGUGUAUCUGGUUCGGUCUUGGCAUCCUCUUGGAGAACGUAACUGCGCUUGAUUGCGUGGUGCGGUAUUCAAGGCUUUUACUUUGAGGAAAUUAGAGUGCUCACGGCAGGCAAGCGCCUUGAAUAUAUUAGCAUGGAAUAAUAAUAUAGGAUCUCGGUUCUAUUUUGUUGGUUUCUAGAAUCAGGAUAAUGAUUAAUAGGGAUAAUUGGGGGCAUUUGUAUUAACGCGUCAGAGGUGGAAUUCUUGGAUUGCGUUACGACAAACUACUGCGAAAGCAUUUGCCAAGGAUGUUUUCAUCG
rnacentral:rRNA from 1 species